ensembl:miRNA Gm44491 predicted gene, 44491
AACUAAGUGGGCAUUGCUUCUCGGUCUUUUGGCUAAGAUCAAGUGCAGAACUAAGUGGGCUUUAUUCCUGGGUUAUAAGGUUGGCUUAACAAAUGC